GGAGGGUGCAAGCGUUAAUCGGAAUUACUGGGCGUAAAGCGCGCGUAGGCGGUUCUGUAAGUCGGAUGUGAAAGCCCUGGGCUUAACCUGGGAAUUGCAUUCGAAGCUGCAGGACUAGAGUAUGGUAGAGGGAAGUGGAAUUUCCGGUGUAGCGGUGAAAUGCGUAGAUAUCGGAAGGAACACCAGUGGCGAAGGCGACUUCCUGGGCCAAUACUGACGCUGAGGUGCGAAAGCGUGGGGAGCAAACAGGGAUUAGAUACCCUGGUAGUCCACGCCGUAAACGAUGAGAACUAGAUGUUGGGAGGGUUACCUUUCGGUGUCGCAGCUAACGCGUUAAGUUCUCCGCCUGGGGAGUACGCCGGCAACGGUA
rnacentral:rRNA from 1 species